rnacentral:rRNA from 1 species
UACGUAGGGGGCAAGCGUUGUCCGGAUUUAUUGGGCGUAAAGAGCGUGUAGGCGGCUAGGUAGGUCCGUUGUGAAAACUCGAGGCUCAACCUCGAGACGUCGAUGGAAACCAUCUAGCUAGAGUCCGGAAGAGGAGAGUGGAAUUCCUGGUGUAGCGGUGGAAUGCGCAGAUAUCAGGAGGAACACCAAUAGCGAAGGCAGCUCGCUGGGACGGUACUGACGCUAAGGCGCGAAAGCGUGGGGAGCGAACAGG